AUGAGAACUGGCUUUGCAAGCCACAUGGCGGCAGUGCUGGCCUCCCUCCUGGUCCUGCUGGCCGUGCUGCUGGCCGCCGUGCUCUAUGUCAAGUGCCGUCUCAACGUGCUGCUCUGGUACCAGGACGUGUACGGGGAGGUGGAGAUGAACGAUGGGAAGCUCUACGAUGCCUACGUCUCCUAUAGCGACUGCCUGGAGGACCGCAAGUUCUUGAACUUCAUCCUGAAGCUGCAGCUGGAGCGGCGUUGGGACUACAAGCUCUUCCUGGAUGACCGCGACCUCCUGCCGUGGGCCGAGCCCUCCGCCGACCUCCUGGUGAACCCGAGCCGCUGCCCGCGCCUCAUCUUGGUGCUCUCAGACGCCUUCCUGAGCCGGGCCUGGUGCGACCACAGCUUCUGACUCCUUCCUUCGGUUUUUGGACAGAACUACAGCCAGCGCUGCCGCGGAAGGUGCACUACAGGCCAGCGGAAGGGGACUCCCAGACGCAGCUGCAGGACGACAAGGACCCCAUGCUGAUUCUUCAAGGCCGAGUCCCAGAGGCCCGGGCCCUGGAAGAGGGCGACCUGGGUGUCCCGGGGCCUGUCUUUGGAGAGUCAUCAGCUCCACCGAGCACGGGUGGGGUCUCACUGGGAGAGGGCCGGGGCAGCGAAGUGGACGUCUCGGACCUUGGCUCGAGAAACUUCAGUGCCCGCACAGACUUCUACUGCCUGGUGUCAGAGGAUGAUAUGUAGCCCCCACUCAGAGUGCAGGACGAUAAGAACAGCGGGUGCCAGGGCAGGGGUGUCGUUCCUCUGCUCAGCAGGACCACAACCCCUGUCUGCAGCCCUGGAACCCUCAGAGCAAGGCUGUGGCCCCAGGGCCUCUCCCAGUGCCAGAAAAUAAACUCCUUUUGGAUUCCGGAAAAAAAAAAAAAAAGAGAACAAAUCCCAAACGCAUCAAAUACCUGCUAUUUAUUUACCACUGUC